GCAGCAGUGGGGAAUAUUGCACAAUGGGGGAAACCCUGAUGCAGCCAUGCCGCGUGUGUGAAGAAGGCCUUCGGGUUGUAAAGCACUUUCAGUAGGGAGGAAAGGGUGUAGUUUAAUACGCUAUAUCUGUGACGUUACCUACAGAAGAAGGACCGGCUAACUCCGUGCCAGCAG
rnacentral:rRNA from 1 species